rnacentral:rRNA from 1 species
AUUGAACGCUGGCGGCAGGCCUAACACAUGCAAGUCGAGCGGAUGAAGGGAGCUUGCUCCUGGAUUCAGCGGCGGACGGGUGAGUAAUGCCUAGGAAUCUGCCUGGUAGUGGGGGAUAACGUCCGGAAACGGGCGCUAAUACCGCAUACGUCCUGAUGGAGAAAGUGGGGGAUCUUCGGACCUCACGCUAUCAGAUGAGCCUAGGUCGGAUUAGCUAGUUGGUGGGGUAAAGGCCUACCAAGGCGACGAUCCGUAACUGGUCUGAGAGGAUGAUCAGUCACACUGGAACUGAGACACGGUCCAGACUCCUAAGGGAGGCAGCAGUGGGGAAUAUUGGACAAUGGGCGAAAGCCUGAUCCAGCCAUGCCGCGUGUGUGAAGAAGGUCUUCGGAUUGUAAAGCACUUUAAGUUGGGAGGAAGGGCAGUAAGUUAAUACCUUGCUGUUUUGACGUUACCAACAGAAUAGGCACCGGCUAACUUCGUG